GUUUGGCUGAAAGUUCUUCUUAUUAGCACCGAAAACGCGCAAAUAAAACUUGAAUGCGUAUGAAAAGUCCCCCUCUUGAAUAAUUACGUUAAGAACUGAAUUGAAUGACUUUACAGUCUGCUUACAAUGGAACUCGUUCACCAUUCUAUCAAAAAACUUCACAGCUUCCCCAGGUAAAUGAGCUUCCCCGCAAGCCUUGAAUAUUAGGAUAAA
rnacentral:misc_RNA from 1 species